rnacentral:tRNA from 2 species
GUAUGUCCGGAUAUGCCGAAAACGGGCGCUCGUCUCAUAACCGCUUGGUUGGGGGUUCGAGUCCCUCCGGGCCCACCA